rnacentral:rRNA from 1 species
GAUGAACGCUGGCGGCGUGCCUAACACAUGCAAGUCGAGCGAUUCUCUUCGGAGAAGAGCGGCGGACGGGUGAGUAACGCGUGGGUAACCUGCCCUGUACACACGGAUAACAUACCGAAAGGUAUGCUAAUACGAGAUAAUAUGCUUUUAUCGCAUGGUAGAAGUAUCAAAGCUCCGGCGGUACAGGAUGGACCCGCGUCUGAUUAGCUAGUUGGUAAGGUAACGGCUUACCAAGGCGACGAUCAGUAGCCGACCUGAGAGGGUGAUCGGCCACAUUGGAACUGAGACACGGUCCAAACUCCUACGGGAGGCAACAGUGGGAAAUAUUGCACAAUGGGCGAAAGCCUGAUGCAGCAACGCCGCGUGAGCGAUGAAGGCCUUCGGGUCGUAAAGCUCUGUCCUCAAGGAAGAUAAUGACGGUACUUGAGGAGGAAGCCCCGGCUAACUACGUGCCAGCCGCCGCCGUAA